GCUGGUGGGAUACUACCCUAGCUGUGUUGGCUUUCUAACCCGCACCACUUAUCGUGGUGGGAGACAGUGUCAGGCGGGCAGUUUGACUGGGGCGGUCGCCUCCUAAAAGGGAACGGAGGCGCUCAAAGGUUCCCUCAGAAUGGUUGGAAAUCAUUCAUAGAGUGUAAAGGCAUAAGGGAGCUUGACUGCGAGACCUACAAGUCGAGCAGGGUCGAAAGACG
rnacentral:rRNA from 1 species